CCUACGGGGGGCUGCAGUGGGGAAUAUUGCACAAUGGGGGAAACCCUGAUGCUGCAACGCCGCGUGAGCGAUGAAUGCCUUCGGGUCGUAAAGCUCUGUCCUAAGGGAAGAAUACUGACGGUACCUUAGGAGGAAGCCCCGGCUAACUACGUGCCAGCAGCCGCGGUACUACGGAGGGAGCUAGCGUUAUCCGGAAUUACUGGACGUAAAGGGUGCGUAGGCGGCUCUUCAAGUCAGAGGUGAAAGGCUACGGCUCAACCGUAGUAAGCCUUUGAAACUGUAGGGCUUUAGUGCAAGAGAGAAGAGUGGAAUUCCUAGUGUAGCGGUGAGAUGCGUAGAUAUUGGGAGGAACACCAGUUGCGCAGGCGGCUCUCUGGACUGUAACUGACGCUGAGGCACGAAAGGGUGGGGAGCGAACAGGAUUAGAUACCCGAGUAGUC
rnacentral:rRNA from 1 species